rnacentral:rRNA from 1 species
GACGAACGCUGGCGGCGUGCUUAACACAUGCAAGUCGAACGGAAAGGCCCUGCUUUUGUGGGGUGCUCGAGUGGCGAACGGGUGAGUAACACGUGAGUAACCUGCCCUUGACUUUGGGAUAACUUCAGGAAACUGGGGCUAAUACCGGAUAGGAGCUCCUGCUGCAUGGUGGGGGUUGGAAAGUUUCGGCGGUUGGGGAUGGACUCGCGGCUUAUCAGCUUGUUGGUGGGGUAGUGGCUUACCAAGGCUUUGACGGGUAGCCGGCCUGAGAGGGUGACCGGCCACAUUGGGACUGAGAUACGGCCCAGACUCCUACGGGAGGCAGCAGUGGGGAAUAUUGCACAAUGGGCGGAAGCCUGAUGCAGCAACGCCGCGUGCGGGAUGACGGCCUUCGGGUUGUAAACCGCUUUCGCCUGUGACGAAGCGUGAGUGACGGUAAUGGGUAAAGAAGCACCGGCUAACUACGUGCCAGCAGCCGCGGUGAUACGUAGGGUGCGAGCGUUGUCCGGAUUUAUUGGGCGUAAAGGGCUCGUAGGUGGUUGAUCGCGUCGGAAGUGUAAUCUCGGGGCUUAACCCUGAGCGUGCUUUCGAUACGGGUUGACUUGAGGAAGGUAGGGGAGAAUGGAAUUCCUGGUGGAGCGGUGGAAUGCGCAGAUAUCAGGAGGAACACCAGUGGCGAAGGCGGUUCUCUGGGCCUUUCCUGACGCUGAGGAGCGAAAGCGUGGGGAGCGAACAGGCUUAGAUACCCUGGUAGUCCACGCUGUAAACGGUGGGUACUAGGUGUGGGGUCCAUUCCACGGGUUCCGUGCCGUAGCUAACGCUUUAAGUACCCCGCCUGGGGAGUACGGCCGCAAGGCUAAAACUCAAAGGAAUUGACGGGGCCCCGCACAAGCGGCGGAGCAUGCGGAUUAAUUCGAUGCAACGCGUAGAACCUUACCUGGGUUUGACAUGGAUCGGGAGUGCUCAGAGAUGGGUGUGCCUCUUUUGGGGUCGGUUCACAGGUGGUGCAUGGCUGUCGUCAGCUCGUGUCGUGAGAUGUUGGGUUAAGUCCCGCAACGAGCGCAACCCUUGUUCACUGUUGCCAGCACGUUAUGGUGGGGACUCAGUGGAGACCGCCGGGGUCAACUCGGAGGAAGGUGGGGAUGACGUCAAGUCAUCAUGCCCCUUAUGUCCAGGGCUUCACGCAUGCUACAAUGGCUGGUACAGAGAGUGGCGAGCCUGUGAGGGUGAGCGAAUCUCGGAAAGCCGGUCUCAGUUCGGAUUGGGGUCUGCAACUCGACCUCAUGAAGUCCGAGUCGCUAGUAAUCGCAGAUCAGCAACGCUGCGGUGAAUACGUUCCCGGGGCU